rnacentral:rRNA from 1 species
GCUGGCGGCGUGCUUAACACAUGCAAGUCGCACGAGAACGCUUCAGCUUGCUGAAGCUAGUAAAGUGGCGUACGGGUGAGUAACGCGUGGGUAAUCUAUCUUCGAAUUGGGGAUAACAUUGCGAAAGCGAUGCUAAUACCGGAUAAAAUCCAUUAAACCUCGGUUUUUUUGGAUCAAAGGUGGCCUCUACAUGUAAGCUACUGUUCGGAGACGAGCCCGCGUACCAUUAGCUUGUUGGUAGGGUAACGGCCUACCAAGGCAACGAUGGUUAGCUGGUCUGAGAGGAUGAUCAGCCACACUGGAACUGACACACGGUCCAGACUCCUACGGGAGGCAGCAGUGAGGAAUUUUGCGCAAUGGGGGAAACCCUGACGCAGCAACGCCGCGUGAGUGAUGAAGGCUUUCGGGUCGUAAAGCUCUGUCAAGUGGGAAGAACCCGUGCCGUACAA